GGGGAGAUUCCAGAGUGGCCAAACGGGGCAGACUGUAAAUCUGUUGUCUUAUGACUUCGGAGGUUCGAAUCCUCCUCUCCCCACCA
rnacentral:tRNA from 1 species